AUUGAACGCUGGCGGCAUGCUUUACACAUGCAAGUCGAACGGCAGCGCGGGCUUCGGCCUUGCGGCGAGUGGCGAACGGGUGAGUAAUACAUCGGAACGUGCCCAGUAGUGGGGGAUAGCUCGGCGAAAGCCGGAUUAAUACCGCAUACGACCUGAGGGUGAAAGCGGGGGAUCUUCGGACCUCGCGCUAUUGGAUCGGCCGAUGUCAGAUUAGCUAGUUGGUGGGGUAAAGGCCUACCAAGGCGACGAUCUGUAGCUGGUCUGAGAGGACGAUCAGCCACACUGGGACUGAGACACGGCCCAGACUCCUACGGGAGGCAGCAGUGGGGAAUUUUGGACAAUGGGCGAAAGCCUGAUCCAGCAAUGCCGCGUGUGUGAUGAAGGCCUUCGGGUUGUAAAGCACUUUUGGCGGGAACGAAAAGGACUGUGCCAAUACCACGGUUCGAUGACGGUACCAGCAGAAUAAGCACCGGCUAACUACGUG
rnacentral:rRNA from 1 species